rnacentral:tRNA from 1 species
GCCUGGGUGGCUCAGUCGGUUAAGCGUCCGACUUCGGCUCAGGUCAUGAUCUCACAGUCCGUGGGUUCGAGCCCCACCUCGGGCU